CCUUUCCUCGGUCAUCCUAGGCUAGUCAUUAAACACAUAUCUUCCUGGCUACCCCACUUCUCCUCUAGCUAUACUUCCCUCAUAUUUGGGGACUUUAAUAUCCCAAUCAACAACCCUAACUGCCUUGAUGCCUUUUGACUGCCUCUGUAACCUCCUCCUUUGGCCUUACGCAAUGGUAUAAUUUAGCAACUCAUACAGCAGGAAACACUCUUUAUCUCAACUUGUCCAAUCUCCGUACCACUUCAAAUCUCCUGAGUGUUAAACUUCCUCUAUCUGACCACCAUCUGUUGACCUUUGACAUCGGCAUACCCUAUACCCAAAUUAUACCACCCUUGGUGCAUCAGUCUCACAGAAACCUCCACUGUCUAGACCUACAGUGACUCUCCACCAACUUUCAAACUCUUUUACCUAUCUCAAACCUCACUUGCCCUAGUUCUGCAAACUUCUUCUACAACUCCACCCUCUCCUCUCAACUAGAUAUCAUGGCACCUCCUUGAUAAAAAAAAAAACAACAUAGAAAGCACCUCCAAUUACAACUUUGGCACACCAAGCUGAUUUUCUACCUCUAGAAAUGCUCCAGAACUGCUGAAC